rnacentral:lncRNA from 1 species
GGCUGAAUCGUAGCAAGAGUUCCUAGUGCUGGCACUGCCGAGACAGUGUGGAGAGAGCGACGAGACCGAGAGGCGCCUGGGUGGCAGCUGCCGUCAUACGCGGCAGUGAACCCCAGGCAAGAAGCCUGCUAUACUUCCAAGCCGCGGAGCCUAUGCCAGAGCCCCACAGCCUCCACCAAAACGUUGCAGUGUCCAUCG